UACCUGCGGAGGGAUCA
rnacentral:rRNA from 1 species